CAGCCGCCGCGGGAAUACGGAGGGUGCAAGCGUUAAUCGGAAUUACUGGGCGUAAAGCGCACGCAGGCGGUCUGUCAAGUCAGAUGUGAAAUCCCCGGGCUUAACCUGGGAACUGCAUUUGAAACUGGCAGGCUAGAGUCUUGUAGAGGGGGGUAGAAUUCCAGGUGUAGCGGUGAAAUGCGUAGAGAUCUGGAGGAAUACCGAUGGCGAAGGCAGCCAUCUGGCCUAACACUGACGCUGAGGUACGAAAGCAUGGGGAGCAAACAGGAUUAGAUACCCGUGUAGUCCCUGUCUCUUAUAC
rnacentral:rRNA from 1 species